UGUUUUAUAUCAACAUCUGGACCAAAUCUUGACUCACAAUGACCCAUUAUUGACUUCUAAGUGCUUGGAGUUGAUCCCAGUCUGCUUAUCCACCUGCUGAAUGAGAACUGAUCACAGGUUUUCAUUUAGGUUCAAAUGUUGGGAGCUUCCAGACCACAGGCCCAAAAUGUCAAUAUUUUGAUGUUUUAGUCACCUUAUUUUACUCUUGCUUUGUGUCAUUGUUCUGUAUCAUACUGGGAAAUCAACAGAUUACCAUCAUAUAGUGCCUGGCCUAUCGGAAGAAGUUGCUCUUUGACCCCUGCACUUUAUUCAUGCCAGUGUUCAUGGACAGAACAGGAAGAAACCCACUGAUUUGGAGGGGAAGGACCUCAGUACAUGGAUUAUAUCAGGAUGCUUUACUGUUGGUAUGACAAUAAAGGUUGUUGAUGAGAAUGGCUAUGCGGCUAUCAUCAGCGGCGUUGGCUAACCCAAUAGCAGUUAUAUAGUCUCAAAGGACUCUUUCCAGCAGGGCCAUGGGAUCGGCCGCUCACCAGGCAAAGCAACUAUUAGAGAAAAAGCAUUCACCCUAUACUACAACAGCACAAAAUCGUGUUGCUGUCUGCACACUUUAUUAAUCCCAAAGGUCAAACUGAUGGAUUAAUAUCUCUUAAUAUCUAAAUAUCUUCAAAGACCGUGCAGAUGCUGAUGGCUG